AUCUAGCCCACCUAUAGAAUGUCACUGUCACAGCUUCAAUAGCUGCCUGCGUAAAUGCUUAGGAGCAGGCUUCCAGGAGCCUGCCUGUUACGUGAAUGCAGUAAGAAGCCAAGGCAUUUGUGUUUUGGAAUCCAGGCGACGCUGUCUCCCUCCCACAGUUGCAGGCGGCUGUGGCCUCUCCCGCUGCCAGUUGGUCUCUCCAGGGAUUAAAACCACAGACCGGUUUAAACUGGUUCUCAGGGAAGUGCUUUAUGUCUCCUAUGGAAUCUUGGGAAGGGUCAUGUGGAGCUCUGCUCUGAUGUCACAGUGGAUGAAAAAGACCUUGAGUCAGCAGCUUUCUUGUUCUGAUGGGAGAAGUGUGUACACAGGUAUACAGUGGCUGCCCCAAUGAUUGUUUAGAACCUCUAUAAGGGGAGAGAUGAGGCAAUUAUAUUUAAAAGUCAG
rnacentral:lncRNA from 1 species